UUUUUCUUUUCAAUUUUGACUUUUUCACUCUAAUUGGUCGUUGAUAUGGAGAUCUUCCAAUAAUGUCAUCUUCAUCAUCUAAGUUAAGAGAAAAUGAAAACGAACCUGAAGACGCUUGUGAAACAGAAUCGAGGGUAGGAUUUUCUAAUCCGCAUAGAUUUAAGACUUUUUUAGCUUGAGUAGCACCAUCUUUAAACUUUUCAAAGUUUCUAAUAAUGUUCCAUACAUGAUCAAAUUUCCA
rnacentral:sRNA from 1 species